rnacentral:rRNA from 1 species
AAAUUGAAGAGUUUGAUCAUGGCUCAGAUUGAACGCUGGCGGCAGGCCUAACACAUGCAAGUCGAACGGUAACAGGAAGCAGCUUGCUGCUUUGCUGACGAGUGGCGGACGGGUGAGUAAUGUCUGGGAAACUGCCUGAUGGAGGGGGAUAACUACUGGAAACGGUGGCUAAUACCGCAUAACGUCGCAAGACCAAAGAGGGGGACCUUCGGGCCUCUUGCCAUCAGAUGUGCCCAGAUGGGAUUAGCUUGUUGGUGAGGUAACGGCUCACCAAGGCGACGAUCCCUAGCUGGUCUGAGAGGAUGACCAGCCACACUGGAACUGAGACACGGUCCAGACUCCUACGGGAGGCAGCAGUGGGGAAUAUUGCACAAUGGGCGCAAGCCUGAUGCAGCCAUGCCGCGUGUAUGAAGAAGGCCUUCGGGUUGUAAAGUACUUUCAGCGGGGAGGAAGGUGUUGCGGUUAAUAACCGCAGCAAUUGACGUUACCCGCAGAAGAAGCACCGGCUAACUCCGUGCCAGCAGCCGCGGUAAUACGGAGGGUGCAAGCGUUAAUCGGAAUUACUGGGCGUAAAGCGCACGCAGGCGGUCUGUCAAGUCGGAUGUGAAAUCCCCGGGCUCAACCUGGGAACUGCAUUCGAAACUGGCAGGCUUGAGUCUUGUAGAGGGGGGUAGAAUUCCAGGUGUAGCGGUGAAAUGCGUAGAGAUCUGGAGGAAUACCGGUGGCGAAGGCGGCCCCCUGGACAAAGACUGACGCUCAGGUGCGAAAGCGUGGGGAGCAAACAGGAUUAGAUACCCUGGUAGUCCACGCCGUAAACGAUGUCUACUUGGAGGUUGUGCCCUUGAGGCGUGGCUUCCGGAGCUAACGCGUUAAGUAGACCGCCUGGGGAGUACGGCCGCAAGGUUAAAACUCAAAUGAAUUGACGGGGGCCCGCACAAGCGGUGGAGCAUGUGGUUUAAUUCGAUGCAACGCGAAGAACCUUACCUGGUCUUGACAUCCACAGAACUUUCCAGAGAUGGAUUGGUGCCUUCGGGAAC